rnacentral:lncRNA from 1 species
UAAAAACCCGUUUUACUAAAAAUACGACGAAAUCCACUGAGGCGAUUGUUCUCUAAAACUGACCAAGGUCAAAGUCACUGCUGAGAGCAGGUAUAAUAACUCUCAACGCAAACAAAUUUAUCGUUAAAUAAUUAGAUUGAAGUUUUUUUCCAAAAAUAUACAGGUGUUGGUUUAAGUACGGUCAUGGAUUUUUUCAUGUAAUCUCAAGCUGUUGUUUCUAUAUUUGACUUGCUUCUCUGUCUUUGUUUUUUGUUCCACUAUAUUGCACAGGAGAUAUGUUAUAUAUGUAAUAUAGAAAUGUUUUGCGACUACCAUCAGCAGGUGUCCGAUCGACGAAAAUACUGUUGUCAUAAUUCUUUUCAUUGUAUGAUGUUAGUCUUGUUGAACCCUGGUUGAACAAGAUCACAUUGUCAUUGACUUGUUGAUUGAAAGUAAAGGCUAGUUUAUACUAUCAAACCGCUUUCUGUGGUAUCAAUAAUUUAGCAUGGGUAAAUUCUGACUUUUUUUAGAACCACUGAGUAGUAUUUUAACAAAAUACAAAACAAGUGUAACUCCAAAGAUCGACAACAUUUUUAUAUUUAUCAUAAAUAUAAAAAUUAUAUUUAAUUAUAUUAUUAUUAUUAUAUUUAUGAUAAAUAUGAAAAUGUUAUCGAUCUUUGGAAUUACACUUGUUUUUUGUAUUUUGUUAAAAUUCUGACUUGGUGUUUAACACCGAGUCUUUCCGAAGCUCAGCUCAGAAACCACUGCCAGCAGGGUACACUGAAUCAGUUUCCUUAAACAGUUCUUACAAAUCUUUCAAAAUUUACCUACUGUAAAAUUGCUUCUAUGAUCCGGUAGAAAGUUUGAUAGUAAUAAACCAGAUCGUCUUAAAACUGAGAGAUGUAAUUUUAAUUUACUUGUUUGUAUAACUGCAUGUUUAACUCAUUUCUGAAGUUGAGACCCUCUGCUUGUUUGUGUAAGAAUACGCUUACUGGAACUCACAAUAUUGCAAGCUAUAACGGACUCAGAUCAGAAGAAAAUCCAAAGAGCAGAAAAAAAUCCAAACAAGCAAAAACUUUCUGAGAAAAACCCACACAACCAGAAGGAGGCAGAAAAAAUACAUCACAACACGAGUGACAGUGAACAGUAAAAAAAUCGAUGCAAGGCAGAAAGUUCCUAACUUGGUUGUUAGGUAUAUAUCAAUUUUUGGACUAGUGUAGUAACGUGUAUAAUUGCAAUUUUUUCCUCUUUACGCUUCAUUACUCUACCGACAGUAAAGUUAUAUAUUUUGACGAUUGUCUACACACUUUACUCAAAUACAAUAGCAGUUUAUUUAUUUAUUUAUGUAUUUAUUUAUUUAUUAAACUUUGCCAAAACACGUAACAGAACAAAUAGACAUCUAGACAAUAGACAUGGACAAGUUUUCCGCAGUAAUGAAAACGUCCAUUUCAUUCAGUGGCAAAUCUUGCCCAAUAUGACGAAUGUUAGAAAAAAAUACGAGAGAAUGAAUCACUAUUCAAUUAAUGUUGAGAACAAUAAGUCAAUGGGGAUAAACUCAGUGCAUAUUCAGAGUAUACGAUAUGAAUUUUCUGAAAAGAGUUCUGAUGGCAACAUUCUUGUGACAAACAACCAAGAGUUGUAGCACCUGCUUGUAGUACCAUAUCAUUAACGUUAAUUCAAAAUCACAUUAUUGUGUAAAAUGCAAAGUUUUGUUAUUCAGACUAUAUACGAUAUGAAUUUUCUGAAAACAGUUCUGAUGGCAACAUUCUUGUGACAAACAGCCAAGAGUUGUGGCACCUGCUUGCAGUACCAUA